UGGGUAAAUAUAUCAGUUAUCGACUUGAGUGAACUCUAGAGCAUUUGCAUCUGGAUCUCGUGUAAAGAUUGCAGGCCUCCCAGACCGGCUAAGUGUGUAGGGAAUUCCUGCAAACAUUAAAAGAUUCAGCAUUCCAUAAUGAUAACUGGGGAUGGGAAGAGAACAGUGUACCAGCUUUAUCAAGGAUUGCCUUCAACUUGGACACAUCGCGAAUAGCAAUGCAAGUAUGUCUGUCUCGGCCACCAUGUUGAGGUCGUCCAGUUAAGGGGUCAGGAUUUGGAAGCUCCAUUAAGUGGAUCAUUUCAGAACCCACC